CUUUUUCUUUUUUCCUGUUUUUCUUUUUUUUUCACUUUUUUUUCUUUCUCUUUUGCAUGUUCUGACAGUUUAUUUUUUGGAGAGCGGUUAAUUUUUGAGCGCAACUAAGUUGCGCGACAGGAUGGCGUCUCAGGAGACGCCACCUCUGUCUUUGCAGCAUGGUGUGCGGUGUGUACCUGAUGACGGUGUUAUGGUAGAGGACGUUCUCGUGGCAGUGGGAGAUGAGGUAGGGUUUGAAAGCAUUAUUUAUGCUUCCCGAAUGAACAAAGCGGUUGUUGUAUUUGUAAAAGAGAAAAAUACUGCUUGUAGGUUGAUUGAAAAUGGUAUUGUCAUACGUGAUAAUCUUGUGCAGGUUACUCCGCUUCAUGCACCUUCUAGCAAAAUCAUUAUUUCAAAUAUUCCGCCUUUCAUUUCUAAUGAGGCGUUGGAACGUGAAUUAGUGAGAUUCGGUAAGUUUGCUAGUGAGUUUAGAACGAUCUCUUUAGGUUGUAAACAUCCGUCUUUAAAGCAUGUUCAGUCUUUUAGAAGACAAGUGUACAUGUUUUUGGACUCUCCAGAAAAUACUUUGGAUGUUUCUUUCCGUGUAAAGCAUGAAGGGAGAUCUUAUAUGGUUUAUGCAACUACUGGUAACUUGCGAUGUUUUGUUUGUGGUGACGUAGGGCAUAAGCGGAUUGCGUGUCCACGCAAAGAGUAUGGAGGAGCGAAACAAACAGUUUCAGAGGGGGAGGUCGAUGCUGUGAUCAUCUCAGUUGGUGAUGAAAUAGCAGGUCCUUCUGGGUUACAGUCAGAUACUGGGACAAUAGCGCGUGUCAUCUCUGAGCCAGUGUAUGCGGUGCCGAUACAGUCAGCUGAGUGCAGCGCUAGUGACGUCACUCGCAGCGGGAAUGCUGAGAACCCCACAGCUGGAACUAGCGUUAUUGUACCAGGCAUCAGCAACGUUGAGCAAAGUAGGCCUAACUAUAAUGGUGAAGAAUCUGAUGAAAUUAAUCCGAGUGGGUUAUUAACUUGUACAGGUAAUGAUAGCAUUGAUGCCAUGUCUGAUGAUACAGAUUCAAUUGACAUUGAGGGCUCACAGGGAGAUCUUCAAAAGGAGAUCUCCUUGUAUCCCCUUGAGGAAAUAAAUCACUUUUUGGAUGAUACUUUUGGCAAACAGGUGAAUGUUAGAGAUUUUUUCCCAGAUAUUGAGAAGUUUGUUAGGUCUGUUACAGUUUUUCAAAAAGCAGUUGGUUUCGAUAUUUUGAGUGAAAAGAAGCGUUUUCGACUAAAGAAGCAUCUUACAGCGAUAAGAAAAUGUAGGAAAGAAAGGAAAAAAAGUUCUUAAACUG
ensembl:lncRNA